UACGUAGGGUGCAAGCGUUAAUCGGAAUUACUGGGCGUAAAGCGUGCGCAGGCGGCUAUGCAAGUCAGAUGUGAAAUCCCGGGGCUCAACCUGGGAACUGCAUUUGUGACUGCAUGGCUAGAGUACGGUAGAGGGGGAUGGAAUUCCGCGUGUAGCAGUGAAAUGCGUAGAUAUGCGGAGGAACACCGAUGGCGAAGGCAAUCCCCUGGACCUGUACUGACGCUCAUGCACGAAAGCGUGGGGAGCAAACAGG
rnacentral:rRNA from 1 species